CAGUCGCCGCGGUAAUACGGAGGGAGCUAGCGUUGUUCGGAAUUACUGGGCGUAAAGCGCGCGUAGGCGGUUACUCAAGUCAGAGGUGAAAGCCCGGGGCUCAACCCCGGAACUGCCUUUGAAACUAGGUGACUAGAAUCUUGGAGAGGUCAGUGGAAUUCCGAGUGUAGGGGUGAAAUUCGUAGAUAUUCGGAAGAACACCAGUGGCGAAGGCGACUGACUGGACAAGUAUUGACGCUGAGGUGCGAAAGCGUGGGGAGCAAACAGGAUUAGAUACCCCUGUAGUCCCUGUCUCUUAUAC
rnacentral:rRNA from 1 species